GCCGACGUGGUGUAACCCGGCGAGCAUACGGCCCUGUCGCGGUCGUGAUCCGGGUUCAAACCCCGGCGUCGGCG
rnacentral:tRNA from 1 species